CCAAUAGCGUAUAUUAAAGUUGUUGCAGUUAAAAAGCUCGUAGUUGAAUUUCGGGGUUAGUAGGUUGGUCAUGCCUCUGGUAUGCACUGGCCUCACUGAUUCCUCCUUCCUGAUGAGCCGUAAUGCCAUUAAUUUGGUGUUGCGGGGAAUUUGGACUGUUACUUUGAAAAAAUUAGAGUGUUUAAAGCAAGCUAACGCUUGAAUACAUUAGCAUGGAAUAAUGAAAUAGGACGUUCGAUCCUAUUUUGUUGGUUUCUAGGAUUGACGUAAUGAUUAAUAGGGAUAGUUGGGGGCAUUAGUAUUCAAUUGUCAGAGGUGAAAUUCUUGGAUUUAUUGAAGACUAACUACUGCGAAAGCAUUUGCCAAGGAUGUUUUCAUUAAUCAAGAACGAAAGUUAGGGGAUCGAAGACGAUCAGAUACCGUCGUAGUCUUAACCAUAAACUAUGCCGACUAGGGAUCGGAUGAUGUUAAUUUUUUAAUGACUCAUUCGGCGCCUUACG
rnacentral:rRNA from 1 species